GACCUCAAAUCAGGCAGGACUACCCGCUGAACUUAAGCAUAUCAAUAAGCGGAGGAAAAGAAACUAACAAGGAUUCCCCUAGUAACUGCGAGUGAAGCGGGAAAAGCUCAAAUUUGAAAUCUGGCGUGCUUCUGGCCGUCCGAGUUGUAGUCUGGAGAAGCGUUUUCCGUGCUGGACCGUGUACAAGUCCCUUGGAACAGGGCGUCAUAGAGGGUGAGAAUCCCGUCUUUGACACGGACUACCAGCGCUUUGUGAUGCGCUCUCAACGAGUCGAGUUGUUUGGGAAUGCAGCUCAAAAUGGGUGGUAAAUUCCAUCUAAAGCUAAAUAUAGGCGAGAGACCGAUAGCGAACAAGUACCGUGAGGGAAAGAUGAAAAGCACUUUGGAAAGAGAGUUAAACAGUACGUGAAAUUGCUGAAAGGGAAACGCUUGAAGUCAGUCGCGUCUACCAGGACUCAGCCUUGCUUCUGGCUUGGUGCAUUUUCUGGUUGACGGGCCAGCAUCGAUUUUGAUCGUCAGAUAAAGUCAAUUGGAAUGUGGCACCUCUCGAGGUGUGUUAUAGCCUCUUGUCGUAUAUGACGGUUGGGAUCGAGGACUGCAGCACGCCCUCUGGGGCUGGGGUUUUUAACCUACAUAACGUGCUUAGGAUGCUGGCUUAAUGGCUUUAAGCGACCCGUCUUGAAACACGGACCAAGGAGUCUAACAUGCCUGCGAGUGUUUGGGUGCAAAACCCGAGCGCGUAAUGAAAGUGAUAGUUGAGACCUCUGUCGUGGAGGGCAUCGACGCCUGGACUUGAUCUACGGAGACGGUUCCACGGUAGAGCAUGUAUGUUGGGACCCGAAAGAUGGUGAACUAUGCCUGAAUAGGGUGAAGCCAGAGGAAACUCUGGUGGAAGCUCGUAGCGAUUCUGACGUGCAAAUCGAUCGUCAAAUUUGG
rnacentral:rRNA from 1 species